rnacentral:rRNA from 1 species
AUGGCCGCCUUCUUGCCGCCCGUCCCCAUGGACCGCGCGUCGGAGAGCCUGUGGCGGGGCCGGGGCAAGGACCCGCGCGACCUCGAGGCGCUCAUCGGCCGCAUCCUCUCCUACAUCCACCUGGUCCUCCCGGGCCCGCCCGCCUCCCGCCNNNNNNNNNNNNNNNNNNNNNNNNNNNNNGACCACCUUGACCGCCUCAGCCUCCUCCCCGACGCGCUCCUGCGCAACGUCCUCACCCGCCUCUCCGUCACGGACGCCGCGCGCACCACCGCGCUCUCCCGCCGCUGGCGCGGCCUCUGGCGCUCCGCCCCGCUCGUCCUCGUCGACGCCCACCUCCUCCCGUCCUCGCCCUCGCCCGAGGUGCAGGUGCAGGUGCCGCGGGACGCCGCGCGCUGCGUCACCUCCGCCGUCUCCCGCAUCCUCGCCGCGCAUCCGGGCCCCUUCCGCUGCGUCCACCUCACCACCAGCCACAUGGAGGAGUUCCGGGGCCUGCUCGCGCGCUGGCUGCAGCUCCUCGCCGUCAAGGGCAUCCAGGAGCUCGUCCUCGCCAACCGCCCGUGGCCGUUUGACCUCGACCUCCCCGCCGCCUUCUUCGGCAUGGCCACGCUCACCCGCCUCUACCUCGCCUUCUGGAAGUUCCCGGACACUGCCGGCCUCCCCCGCGCCUCCUCCUUCCCCAACCUCCGCGAGCUCGGCCUCUGUACAGUCGCCAUGGAGAGCCGGCACAUGAACUUCAUCAUCUCCAGGAGCCCCGUGCUGGAGAUCCUGUGCAUCCAAGCCAACUUGCUCAUGGACCGUCUCACCCUCGUCAGCCGCAGCAUCCGGUGCGUGCAGUUAAUCGGGGCCUCCGAUCUGGAAAUCGUCGUGGACGAAGCCCCCAAGCUCGAGCGCCUCAUCAUCUGGGAGUCAUUCACCCGCAAAGGCCCAGGCUCGCACAAGAGGAUCAAGAUCGGUCAUGCACCAGCGCUAAGCAUACUUGGCUACUUGGAGCCGGAAUUGCACACGCUCCAGAUCGGCAACACCACCAUCAAGACUGGGACAAAAGCGAGCCCAAGCACCAUGGUACCAACCGUGAAGAUCCUCGGCUUAAAAGUGCGUUUUGGUGUCCGCAAUGAAGCCAAAAUUCUGCCUUGCUUUUUCAGGUGCUUUCCAAAUGUUGAGAGGCUGCACAUCGAGUCCAAGAAAACUGCCGAGACCACCGGCAAGCUCAACCUCAAGUUCUGGGAGGAGUCCGGUGCCAUCGAAUGCAUCCGUUCACACGUUGACUUGAUGAUCUUUCAGAACUUCCUAGGAGAUCGGUGCGAGCUUUCCUUCCUCAAGUUUUUCCUUGAGAACGCUCGGAUGCUGACGAAGCUGGCGAUUGUGUGUGUCAAUGGAAGCUUCAGCUCGCUGGCUGAGGUAAAUGCCAAAGUGAAGCCUCUGUUCGACACAAAAUGGGCCAGUAACUGCUGUCAACUGCUGCUCUUCGAGAGUGCAUUUGCUGAAGGUCAAGGCCUUCAGAUGCAGAACUUCGAAAGAGGAUCUGACUUCUCUGUGAGGGACCCUUUCGCCGUCAUCGUCAGAGCUUAG